UACGUAGGGGGCGAGCGUUGUCCGGAGUUACUGGGCGUAAAGCGCACGCAGGCGGUUCUGCUAAGUUUGGAGUGACAAGUUCGGGUCGGCUUAACGUAGCCAAAGUGCUUUCGAAAACUGAACAGACUUGAGGGCUUCAGAGGGAGGACGGAAUUCCGGGUGGAGUGUGAAAUGCGUAGAGAUCGGAGGAACACCAAAGGCGAAGGCAG
rnacentral:rRNA from 1 species